rnacentral:rRNA from 1 species
AGCGAACGCUGGCGGCAGGCUUAACACAUGCAAGUCGAGCGGGCACCUUUCGGGGUGUCAGCGGCGGACGGGUGAGUAACGCGUGGGAACGUGCCCUCUGGUUCGGAAUAACUCAGGGAAACUUGAGCUAAUACCGGAUACGCCCUUUUGGGGAAAGGCUUGCUGCCGGAGGAUCGGCCCGCGUCUGAUUAGCUAGUUGGUGAGGUAACGGCUCACCAAGGCGACGAUCAGUAGCUGGUCUGAGAGGAUGAUCAGCCACACUGGGACUGAGACACGGCCCAGACUCCUACGGGAGGCAGCAGUGGGGAAUAUUGAACAAUGGGCGCAAGCCUGAUCCAGCCAUGCCGCGUGAGUGAUGAAGGCCUUAGGGUUGUAAAGCUCUUUUUUCCGGGACGAUAAUGACGGUACCGGAGGAAUAAGCCCCGGCUAACUUCGUG